rnacentral:tRNA from 1 species
GCUCCUGUAGCGCAGUUGGUAGCGUAGCUGAUUCGUAAUCAGUUGGUCACAGGUUCGAAUCCUGCCUGGAGCACCA